rnacentral:rRNA from 1 species
ACCCAAAUUUUUAUCCAGGUUGACCUCGGAUCAGGUAGGGAUACCCGCUGAACUUA